rnacentral:rRNA from 1 species
AUGGCUCCUCGCUUCCAAAUCCUCGCGAGUGGGGAUGGCGCCCGCCGCCGCAGCUCGCGCCUCCACUCCCAAAUCCAUGCGAGUGAGGAUGGCGCCCCCCGUCGUAGCCCGCGCCUCCACCCCCAAAUCCACGCGAGUGGGGAUGGCGCCGGAGUGACCCAUCGACACCGCCGCACAUCACAGGCGGCGACUGCCUCCCUGCCGGAGAGAUGGCGGGGCCUCAUCAUCGACCCAAAGUUCAUCAACAGCUUCUGCGCCCACCACCAGAAGCCACCUCUACUCGGCUUCAUCAAGGGAACCAGGUUCAACCCACUCCUCGUCGCUCCCGACUGGAUACCUAGCCUCUCCAGGCUCGGCCAGUACGGUGAUGGGCGCCGGUACCAUGUGCAUGAUAUCCACCACGGUCUCGUUCUCACCAGUAAAAUCUUGCUGGGGGAGGGGGUUUAUUUUGUGUGGGACCCCAUCACCGGCGAGCAGCGCGGCGUGCCUGUUCCGGCGAAGUUAACGAGGGGGAUUUUUCUCCACUGUCCGGUGGUCUGCGCUGCCAGCGACCAAGGCCAUGUGCACGACAGCUGCCACUCGCGCCCCUUGAAGGUGGUUCUGAUGCCCGCUUGCACAACUUGUCCCACCGCAUUUGUUUAUUCCCCAGAGACCGGCAUAUUUAGGAAUAUCAAUAUCACCUCGCUACAGCCUGCACUUCAGAGUUAUCUAGAGCGUACAGUUCGUGCUACUCUUGUUGGUAAUGUGCUCUACUGGGUGUCCAGUUGUAACCAUAUUUUAGAGUUUGCUUUGGACGAGUACAACCUAGUGGCGACCAUGGCGCCUCAGGCUAGAGGAGAAUUGCGAAAUGGCCGACAACAUGUGAUACUCGCUGAUGAUGGUGAUGUUGGCUUUACUAUACCAUUCUUUCCUCGCUUCUAA